UACGAAGGGGGCUAGCGUUGCUCGGAAUUACUGGGCGUAAAGGGCGCGUAGGCGGACAGUUUAGUCAGAGGUGAAAGCCCAGGGCUCAACCUUGGAAUGGCCUUUGAUACUGGCUGUCUUGAGUUCGGGAGAGGUGAGUGGAAUGCCGAGUGUAGAGGUGAAAUUCGUAGAUAUUGGGAAGAACACCGGUGGCGAAGGCGGCUACACUGGCUCAUUUCUGACGCUCAGGCGCGACAGCGUGGGGAUCGAAACAGG
rnacentral:rRNA from 1 species